CGCCCGUUAGCCUAGUGGUUAAGGCUACGGAUUGUCAAUACGGAGACGGCGGGUUCGAUUCCCGUUCCGGUCG
rnacentral:tRNA from 1 species